UACGUAGGGUGCAAGCGUUAAUCGGAAUUACUGGGCGUAAAGCGUGCGCAGGCGGUUUUGUAAGACCGAUGUGAAAUCCCCGGGCUCAACCUGGGAACUGCAUUGGUGACUGCAAGGCUUGAGUGUGUCAGAGGGAGGUGGAAUUCCGCGUGUAGCAGUGAAAUGCGUAGAUAUGCGGAGGAACACCGAUGGCGAAGGCGGCGUCCUGGACCAAUACUGACACUGAGGAGCGAAAGCCAGGGGAGCAAACGGG
rnacentral:rRNA from 1 species